rnacentral:rRNA from 1 species
AGUGAACGCUGGCGGUAGGCCUAACACAUGCAAGUCGAACGGCAGCACAGUAAGAGCUUGCUCUUACGGGUGGCGAGUGGCGGACGGGUGAGGCAUACAUCGGCUUCUACUUUUUCGUGGGGGAUAACGUAGGGAAACUUACGCUACUACCGCAUACGUCCUACGGGUGAAAGCAGGGGAUCUUCGCACCUUGCGCGAUUGAAUGAGCCGAUGUCGGAUUAGCUAGUUGGCGGGGUAACGGCCCACCAAGGCGACGAUCCGUAGCUGGUCUGAGAGGAUGAUCAGCCACACUGGAACUGAGACACGGUCCAGACUCCUACGGGAGGCAGCAGUGGGGAAUAUUGGACAAUGGGCGCAAGCCUGAUCCAGCCAUACCGCGUGAGUGAAGAAGGCCUUCGGGUUGUAAAGCCCUUUUGUUGGGAAAGAAAAGCAGCAGGUUAAUACCCCGCUGUUCUGACGGUACCCAAAGAAUAAGCACCGGCUAACUUCGUG